rnacentral:lncRNA from 1 species
GCCACUCAUUCCCCCAGUGUUUUCAAGUGAACUCUGUUCUAAAGUUACUGUUGUAACUUGUUGCCAUUGAAAGUUUUAGGCAUAUAACUUAUCUUUUUGUAAAUAAAUUCUAUACAUGCAAAUACUGAAUUUAACUUAAAUUCGUAAACGAUUCAAUUUCAUUCUGUUUCUGCUCCUAAUCUCUUUGCCAUCUUGUGGAAAUAGACUCCACCCUUACCCUACUUAACCCUCAUGUAGAUUUGACCAGUCAAGAUUUGACUUUUGUGUAUUUUUGCUUUACAACUGGGACUGUCUAUAUUUGUAGGAAAAGAAAAAAGCUGCUUAAGUUGAUUUUCAUGCCCUAACCUUUGUCAUUCUUAGCCAGAAUAUAUCAGAAUCACAUAUCGAAACACAAACAGUACAUGAUAAUAUUCCUGUGCCAUCUCUUGAAUUCUAUUCUCCCUAGAAAGGUUUGAAGAUGUCCUUGAAAAUGUUCUGAUGUUACAGUUCUUUGCUCAAGUUUUAAUUUCCCAGAUUGGGGCUGUGAUUUCCAUUGGGCUCAGUUUUGAAAAAGUUUAGGUUUGAGAACACAUGGUGCUGAAGUAAUCAGGUGAGAAGAAGAAAAGUGAGUUUUUAAGAAAAGCAAUAGCUUGUUUAAGUGAGUUGGGCAGUUGGAUACUUCUGGUGUUGUGGUUUCAUAUCUUAAAAGACAGUGAAAUACAGGCUUUUGCAUAUGAGGAUUAGGCAGCAAACUUACUGUCUACCAGCCUUCAAAUCAGCAUGCCCUUUCAUGGUGAGGUUCCAAUUUUAACAGGUUAAAGAAAAUUUGAGACUAAAAAUUGUCAAAUUUUAUUCAUUUCCAGGAAGAAGUCUUUAUCGUUACCCAUCUAGGCCAGUGUUUUAAGACUACUACUAUACCAAGAAGAUACAAAUAUAGAUUAUUUACACCACUAGCUAUAUGAGAAGCAAGAUGAAAUUAAAGGAAAUAAUUGAGGAAGGAGAAAAUUUUCAUGUGAGAAAUUUUUUGGUGGUGGUGGUGGUGGGGGAUAAAUGUUAUGUCAGUUUCCUACACAGUUAGGAUGGAAAGUUGAGACCCACCAAUAUCCAGCUCCUCUUUCUGUCAAUUUAAUAAGAAUUUGACUACUUGGAUAAGGAAGAAAAUCUAAGGGAAAAACAAUUUUAAGUGAAUUAUUUUUGUCUCAUUAGUGAAAGUCUUCAGAAGGCUUUCUGAUAAAUUGGAUUUCCUAGAAAAAUGGCUAGACCAAAUAAUUAGUUUAUUUUAGAAGAGCAAUAGGACUAUAACCAAAUUCUUGUGAAGGAUCUAUAAUUUAUAAAUGAAUUUCAAAUUAUUCCAAAUAUCUUCAGAAUAAGUGAUAAGGAGACACUUUAAAACAUUUGGAAUGUGGAAGUGGAGCAAAAUGGAUUCUGUUUUAUUCUCUGAAAUAAUCAUGUUUUCCUGCAGUGGAUGGUUAAAUCAUCAAAUUGUUAAAGACAUUGUUCUAGGCACUUGGGAUAUUGACAGUGAAUAAUACAGAAAUUGCCUGCCCUUGUGGAACUUACAUUGUAAUAUUACACACAGUUUGUGUACUCUGCAUUGCUAGGAGGUGAGAUUUUUGGGUGGAACUUUAAACUCUAGCUGCUUUCUUAUUUUAGGAACUAUGAUUUGAAAGAUCUUAGAGAAGUUUCAGGGAUAGGAAGGUGUUUACCAAUUGCAAAUUAUAGGAAAGGGAGAGUUGAGUUUAUUUAUAUUUGUACCUUUUGUUAUUGUCAUGAAACAUCUCCAUAUAUUUCAGUAAGUUUUUUUGACAGAUAGGGGUUUUAUAUUUUUCACAAUUUUAACCAUGUUUUUAAAAUAAAUAAAAAUGUUGCUUUAUAUUUAAAAAUAUCUUGUGUCCUGAAAUUUACUGUAAAUUUCAAAUGUAGCAUUGUCUUGUUAGCAAAGUUUGGUAAAACAACUGCUACAAUAUCUUAAUUUUUGGUUAAGAUUUGUUUUAGGAAUAUAUCUGAGAAAUCAAGUGCCUCAAUCUUUUUAGUUGUGGUUUUAACAAAAGAAGAUGAAAAUUGUAAUUAAUUUACAGUUGGCAUUAAAGAGCUAGAAAAAGAGAGACUGCAAAAAAAAA